rnacentral:tRNA from 1 species
UGUGAGUCGGUGUUAAGGGCACAUAGAGUUUUGAUUUCUAAGGAUAAAUUUUAGUUUAACUUACAA